GUGCUUAACACAUGCAAGUCGAACGAGAAAGCUUAAAGCUUGCUUUGAGCGAGUAAAGUGGCGCACGGGUGAGUAACGCGUGGGUAAUUUACCUUCAAAUUCGGGAUAACGUGCCGAAAGGCGUGCUAAUACCGGAUAAGAUCAUAUAUACUUAGGUAUAAGUGAUAAAAGAUGGCCUCUACACGUAAGCUGUUGUUKGGAGAUAAGCCCGCGUACCAUUAGUUUGUYGGUGGGGUAAAGGCUUACCAAGGCGACGAUGGUUAGCUGGUCUGAGAGGAUGAUCAGCCACACUGGAACUGGAACACGGUCCAGACUCCUACGGGAGGCAGCAGUGAGGAAUUUUGCGCAAUGGGGGUAACCCUGACGCAGCAACGCCGCGUGAGUGAUGAAGGUCUUCGGGUCGUAAAGCUCUGUCAAGUGGGAAGAAGUCUUGGUAUUUAAAGAGGAUACUGAGUUGACGGUACCACUGAAGGAAGCACCGGCUAACUCCGUGCCAGCAGCCGCGGUAAUACGGGGGGUGCAAGCGUUAUUCGGAAUCAUUGGGCGUAAAGGGCGCGCAGGCGGCCAUGCAAGUCAGAUGUGAAAGCCCGGGGCUCAACCCCGGAAGUGCAUUUGAAACUGUGUGACUUGAGUAUGGUAGAGGGAAGUGGAAUUCCUGGUGUAGCGGUGAAAUGCGUAGAUAUCAGGAGGAACACCGGUGGCGAAGGCGACUUCCUGGACCAAUACUGACGCUGAGGCGCGAAGGCGUGGGUAGCAAACAGGAUUAGAUACCCUGGUAGUCCACGCAGUAAACGGUGAUCACUAGGUGUAGCGGGUAUUGACCCCUGCUGUGCCGGAGCUAACGCAUUAAGUG
rnacentral:rRNA from 1 species